rnacentral:rRNA from 1 species
GACGUAGGGGGCCAGCGUUGUUCGGAAUUACUGGGCGUAAAGGGUUCGUAGGCGGUGCGGCAAGUCGGGCGUGAAAUCUCUGGGCUUAACCCAGAGGCUGCUUCCGAAACUGCUGUGCUUGAGUGUGGGAGAGGCGCGUGGAAUUGCAGGUGUAGCGGUGAAAUGCGCAGAUAUCGGGAGGAACACCAAUGGCGAAGGCAGCUCGCUGGGACGUUACUGACGCUGAGACGCGAAAGCGUGGGGAGCAAACAGG